GGGGGUUUCAACACCUCCGUGCCGCCGCUAACGCAUUAAGUAUUCCGCCUGGGGAGUACGGUCGCAAGAUUAAAACUCAAAGGAAUUGACGGGGACCCGCACAAGUAGCGGAGCAUGUGGUUUAAUUCGAAGCAACGCGAAGAACCUUACCUACACUUGACAUCCCUUGCAUUACUCUUAAUCGAGGAAAUCCCUUCGGGGACAAGGUGACAGGUGGUGCAUGGUUGUCGUCAGCUCGUGUCGUGAGAUGUUGGGUUAAGUCCCGCAACGAGCGCAACCCUUGUCGUUAGUUACUACCAUUAAGUUGAGGACUCUAGCGAGACUGCCUGGGUUAACCAGGAGGAAGGUGGGGAUGACGUCAAAUCAUCAUGCCCCUUAUGUGUAGGGCUACACACGUGCUACAAUGGCUGGUACAGAGAGAUGCAAUACCGCGAGGUGGAGCCAAACUUAAAAACCAGUCUCAGUUCGGAUUGUAGGCUGAAACUCGCCUACAUGAAGCUGGAGUUACUAGUAAUCGCGAAUCAGAAUGUCGCGGUGAAUACGUUCCCGGGUCUUGUACACACCGCCCGUCACACCAUGAGAGUUGGCAAUACCCGAAGUCCGUGAGCUAACCGCAAGGAGGCAGCGGCCGAAGGUAGGGUCAGCGAUUGGGGUGAAGUCGUAACAAGGUAGCCGUAGGAGAACCUGCGGCUGGAUCACCUCCUUU
rnacentral:rRNA from 1 species